AUUUAUUUGACAGACAGAGAGCACAAGCAGGGGGAACAGCAGAAGGAGAGAGAAAAGCAGGCUUCCUGAUGAGCAGGGUGCCCAGUGCCAGACUGGAUCCCAGGACCCUAGGAUCAUGGCCUAAGCUGAAGAUUCUAUUCGGAGUGCCAGAGACUUAACAGUGAAAAGGACAAAGUCCUACCCUCGAGGAAAUCUACAGUUAAUUGUGAGUGUGUGUAUGUUUGGGUGGGGCACAGGGAGAGAGUAUAAUUGAAAUAAUAUGAAAAAUAUGUAUAAUAUGAUAAGACAUAAGACCAUACAAAAUGUCAUUGAAUAAUUUUGGUAAUAUUAAGUGCUAUGAUAAGAAAACAAAGUAGGGAAGAGGAAUAGAAAGUUUUAGAGUGCAGCGCCAGGGUAGC
rnacentral:lncRNA from 1 species